rnacentral:rRNA from 1 species
AUAAUGGGUCAGCGACUUAUAUUCUGUAGCAAGGUUAACCGAAUAGGGGAGCCGAAGGGAAACCGAGUCUUAACUGGGCGUUAAGUUGCAGGGUAUAGACCCGAAACCCGGUGAUCUAGCCAUGGGCAGGUUGAAGGUUGGGUAACACUAACUGGAGGACCGAACCGACUAAUGUUGAAAAAUUAGCGGAUGACUUGUGGCUGGGGGUGAAAGGCCAAUCAAACCGGGAGAUAGCUGGUUCUCCCCGAAAGCUAUUUAGGUAGCGCCUCGUGAAUUCAUCUCCGGGGGUAGAGCACUGUUUCGGCAAGGGGGUCAUCCCGACUUACCAACCCGAUGCAAACUGCGAAUACCGGAGAAUGUUAUCACGGGAGACACACGGCGGGUGCUAACGUCCGUCGUGAAGAGGGAAACAACCCAGACCGCCAGCUAAGGUCCCAAAGUCAUGGUUAAGUGGGAAACGAUGUGGGAAGGCCCAGACAGCCAGGAUGUUGGCUUAGAAGCAGCCAUCAUUUAAAGAAAGCGUAAUAGCUCACUGGUCGAGUCGGCCUGCGCGGAAGAUGUAACGGGGCUAAACCAUGCACCGAAGCUGCGGCAGCGACGCUGAUGCGUUGUUGGGUAGGGGAGCGUUCUGUAAGCCUGUGAAGGUGUACUGUGAGG